CGGUGGUGAUGGUGAGCUCGUUGCUCGGGUUGCUGUUGCCGAUGAUGUUCUUGGCGACCAUGCGGAUGUUGUAGGUGGACGACGGGUGGAGGUCGAUGAUCGUGGCCUGGUUGAGCUGCGGCGACACGUCUUUGGUCACCUGGGCCGAAAGCCAAGACGCUGGAGAGAGACGGAGAGAGGAGCUGCGGCCGAGUCCGAGGUGUGUGUGUGUGUCUAUGUGUGUGUGUGUGUGAGACCUUACCUUGCACCGUCAGCUGUAUGAUGCCUCGGUCCUCGCCGAAGGAGUUGAUGGCGUGACAGGAGAAGAACCCCGAGUCCUCACGAACUGUCGGCAUAAUCUGCAGAGACACGCGACACAUGCGGAGCUUUCAGGUGGACGUGCAGAGAGUCAAAAGACCACCUCGCAACUGUUAUAGAUACAAACCACAGAGGGCGUUUGAUUUACAGUGUAAAAAAGACGAGAGAAGUGAGGGACCCACCACCAGCGUGGAGACGACUUCGUCGGCCACCUCCUUGACGGUGACCACGUAGCGGCUGGUCUCGGGGUUGAUGAUGCGCUCCUCCUUCUCCCAGCGCACCAUGAUGGGCUUCUCUCCGUGAGCGAUGCAGCUCAUCUUCUUCUCCUCGCCCUGCGUGGCCAGGGUGGUGUUGGGGUACGAGGUGAUCAUGGCGGGGACUGGAGGGAAGAGGAUGGACAGUCACAUGAGUUGAAAUAGAUGGUUUUAAAAUCCUUUUUAUGAAGCACAUGCUGUCGAAGAGCAUUUUUAAGUGUGUAGCUCUUCCACCGAGCUCCAUUUGAACAAUGAAAGCUUUUAAAAUGCCACGCGUGCCAUAAGAUAGGAUAAGACUUUAUUAAUCCCACUUGUUUCAGCAGCAGCAUCAGGAAAAGAUGUAGAAAUAUCGCAAAUAUAGCAAAAAUAUACAAUAAACUAUAGAAGGGAAAAGGACUUGAAAAAAAAGCUAUAUACAUUUAGACAAAGUGUAAGUAGUAAAUGAAUAUGCAUAUUUGUAUGUAUGUGUUGGACAAGAUAUAGGAUGUAUUUCACAGGAUAACUUCUGCAGUUGUGGUAGAUAUAGACGACUAUGAAAAGUAUAUACACACAUAUAUGCUGUACAUAUAUACAUCUAUACACACACAUAUAUAUAUACACACACACACACAUAUAAAUAUAUAUGUACAAUGUAUUUGUAUUGUAAAUCUCCUACUCCCUAACAUCGAUAUCGGCUCCCAACAAUCCAUAUCUGUGGCGCUGUAGUUUCCAGCAGCAGCUGCAGUAUCUGUUACCUGUACAGUAUCUACAGUAAACACACUGUAGUGAACAACUGUGUCACUGUAAAUGACAGUAACUUCUGAUACGUGUGGCAGACACUGUACCAGAGCUGCAGUUUGUGUGUGUGUGUGUGUGAGUCACUGUCUGUACACUCCUGAAUAAUGUGUGUGCGUGGAUGUAUUUUACUCAAGAGUGCAUAUGUAUGAAACGUGUGUGUGUGUGUGUGUGUGUGUGUGUGUGUGUCUGGGAGAGCUAAGUGGGCGAGCACAGAGAGCAGAGAAGACUUGUGCUCAUGACACAUCUCAGCCACACUACACGACGGAGGAGAGCGAGCGAGCAUGUUCCCCUGCAGCGCAAACUAUGAUCCCUCUCUCUCUCUCUCUCUCUCUCUCUCUCUCUCUCUCUCUCUCUCACUCCAUCUCCCUCCUCGGGUUCCCACCAGGACAGUGAUGAUUUAAUGAUGAGAGAGAGACCACUUUGAUUAUUCAUACGCAUGGCCGAGCUGUCGUGUCACACACACGCACACACACACACACACACACAUAUAAAGGACAACACACACGAAUUGCAAAUUCAGAAAUAUAAAAACUAACGGCAAAAAAACACACACAAAUAAGCAUAAACACAUAAUCAUGGUUUUAGAAAUACACACACACUUGCAGAGUUGGGGGGGGGUUAAACGGUAUUCGUGGAUGACUUUAAAAUAAUUUGUUGUGGCUCGUCUGGCACUCGAAGCGGCGGGAAGGUUAAACAAUCACUGGUCGAUCACUGACAAUUAAAGUCGAGUGUCUGAAAUUAGAACGAGUCGUUUCAUUUACUG